CUGACAGCUGAAUGCCAACACAGACAGACAAAAACAGAUUUGCUCCGGAUACACCACUGAGGCUCCACUUUUAUUCUCGGCCUCAAAUCUACAACCCUCAGAGAAAUGGUGUGAUUGAUCAUCAAUGCCUGCAGGUAUGUGGUGCUAAAGAUCCGGGCUGCAGUGAGAGGCGAUGGGCAGCCAGAGAAAACAAGCACCACACCAUGUGGCCAG